rnacentral:rRNA from 1 species
UACGUAGGGGGCGAGCGUUGUCCGGAUUUAUUGGGCGUAAAGAGCUCGUAGGCGGUUUGGCAAGUCGGAUGUGAAAUCUCCAGGCUCAACCUGGAGGGGUCAUUCGAAACUGCUAUGACUAGAGUUCGGUAGAGGAGUGUGGAAUUCCUGGUGGAGCGGUGAAUGCGCAGAGAUCAGGAGGAACACCCGUAGCGAAGGCGGCACUCUGGGCCGAUACUGACGCUGAGGAGCGAAAGCGUGGGGAGCGAACAGG